UGAAUACGAGAUGCUACGGCGUCGAAGCAGUCUAUGUCAUACUUCCAAGAAAAGCUCGCACUGUCAUAAAAAUAAUGCCUGUACCAUAACCGACACAGGUGGGUAGGUAGAGUAUACUAAGGGGCGCGAGAUAACUCUCUCUAAGGAACUCGGCAAAAUGACUCCGUAACUUCGGGAGAAGGAGUGCCUUAUUUAUAAGGUUGCAAUAACAAGAUCCAAGCAACUGUUUAUCAAAAACACAGGUCUCCGCUAAGUCGUAAGACGAUGUAUGGGGGCUGACGCCUGCCCAGUGCCAGAAGGUUAAAGAAGUUGGUUAGCAUUCGCGAAGCUGAUAACUGAAGCCCUGGUGAACGGCGGCCGUAACAAUAACGGUCCUAAGGUAGCGAAAUUCCUUGUCGGGUAAGUUCCGACCCGCACGAAAGGCGUAAUGAUUUGGAUACUGUCUCGGAGAGGGGCUCGGUGAAAUAGACUUGUCUGUGAAGAUGCGGACUACCUGCACCAGGACAGAAAGACCCUAUGAAGCUUUACUGUAACUUGAGAUUGAAAUUGGACUUUACUUGCGCAGUAUAGGUGGGAGGCGUUGAUAAUAUUCUUGCGGGAUUAUUUGAGCCAUCAGUGAGAUACCACUCUUGUAAUGUUAGAUUUCUAACUUUGUAUCAUUAUCUGGUCAAAGGACAGUUUCAGGCGGGCAGUUUGACUGGGGCGGUCGCCUCCUAAACGGUAACGGAAGCGCACAAAGGUUUCCUCUGAACGGGUAGAAAUCGUAUCUAGAGUGUAAAGGCAUAAGGAAGCUUGACUGUGAGACCUACAAGUCGAGCAGGGACGAAAGUCGGUCUUAGUGAUCUGACGGUGCUGAGUGGAAAGGCCGUCACUCAACGGAUAAAAGUUACUCUAAGGAUAACAGGCUGAUCUCCCCCAAGAGUUCACAUCGACGGGGAGGUUUGGCACCUCGAUGUCGGCUCAUCGCAUCCUGGGGCGGUAGUACGUCCCAAGGGUUGGGCUGUUCGCCCAUGAAAGCGGUACGCGAGCUGGGUUCAGAACGUCGUGAGACAGUUCGGUCCAUAUCCGGUGUAGGCGUUAGAAUAUUGAGAGGAGCCUUCUUUAGUACGAGAGGACCGAGAAGGACAUACCUCUGGUGUACCAGUUAUCGUGCCAACGGUGAACGCUGGGUAGCUAUGUAUGGAGUGGAUAACCGCUGAAAGCAUCUAAGUGGGAAGCCCACCUCAAGAUAAGUAUUC
rnacentral:rRNA from 1 species